CUACAAAUAGUUAUGUGAUCUUAACUAUAGUAAAAUCUUACCUUUAUUUCAGUUUGCAGGUGCUGCUCCAGAUCUGUCUCCUUGACUGACAUAAUCAGAAGUGAUGAUCUCAACCCAUCACAAUGCUUUCCCAUAGUCAAUUCUGAUUACUUCAGCCAAGGAGGUGGGCUGAGGGUUGAGCCAAAAUGCCACCCUUGCCAAUCAGCAUCUCCUCACAGA